rnacentral:rRNA from 1 species
UACAGAGGUCUCGAGCGUUAGGCGGAAUCACUGGGCUUAAAGCGUGUGUAGGUGGAUGCCUAAGUACCUUGUGAAAUCCCACAGCUUAACUGUGGAACUGCUUGGUAUACUGGGUGUCUUGAGUCACUCAGGGGCGAGCGGAACAAAUGGUGGAGCGGUGAAAUGCGUAGAUAUCAGGAGGAACACCAGUGGCGAAGGCGACUACCUGGCCUGUUCUUGACGCUGAGGCGCGAAAGCUAGGGGAGCAAACGGG